AAUGAACGCUGGCGGCGCGCCUAAUACAUGCAAGUCGAGCGAGAAGACGUAGCAAUACGUUUGUAAAGCGGCGAACGGGUGAGGAAUACAUGGGUAACCUACCCUCGAGUGGGGAAUAACUAGCCGAAAGGUUAGCUAAUACCGCGUACGCUUCUUGGACUUCGGUUCAGGGAGGAAAGCGAUACCGUGGGUAUCGCGCUCUUGGAUGGGCUCAUGUCCUAUCAGCUUGUUGGUGAGGUAACGGCUCACCAAGGCUUCGACGGGUAGCUGGUCUGAGAGGACGAUCAGCCACACUGGCACUGCGACACGGGCCAGACUCCUACGGGAGGCAGCAGUAAGGAAUAUUGCGCAAUGGGCGAAAGCCUGACGCAGCGACGCCGCGUGGGGGAUGAAGGUCUUCGGAUUG
rnacentral:rRNA from 1 species